rnacentral:rRNA from 1 species
UACGUAGGGUGCGAGCGUUGUCCGGAAUUAUUGGGCGUAAAGAGCUUGUAGGCGGUUUUGUCGCGUCUGCCGUGAAAAAUUCGAGGCUCAACCUCGAACUUGCGGUGGGUACGGGGCAGACUAGAGUGUGGUAGGGGGAGACUGGAAUUCCUGGUGUAGCGGUGAAAUGCGCAGAUAUCAGGAGGAACACCGAUGGCGAAGGCAGGUCUCUGGGCCACUACUGACGCUGAGAAGCGAAAGCAUGGGGAGCGAACAGG